AUUGGGUGAAGGCGGACCUGGCGGGAACCGAGUUCUCCUGCCGCCAUGUUGGGUGUGGGCAAAGGGAAUCUCCGCCCCCAAGUAUUUUUCGUUUCAUAACCCAGAACCUUUUUUUUUUUUUUAAAUUCUGGCAACCCCAAGAUUUCGGUCUGGUUGGCGCCAAAGCCUACGCCCCGCAGACCAGAGGCAGCUAAGAGGCCGGGGACUGCACUCCUGAAUUGAAGAAUCAGGCUAGGCCGCAGAGGCCUGAGAGCUCACAACAGAGGCAGAGGAGAAGGCCAAAGGAAAAGUAUCAACAUAUGAGUUAGAAGAGUAGGAGAGGAAACAUAGGACCAGGUCACUUACUGAUACCUUGCAGAAGAACAAGUGUCCUGAAUGAAAAGUCAAGUUCUAGUCUAUGCUCUGUCCUAAUAAUCUCUGCAGCCUGGGGAAAACUGCCCUUUCAGAGCCUUAACUUCCUACUCUAACAAGUAAGUAUUUGAGUACCUGCUUAACUUUUCUUGCCCCAAAUUUUCAAAUCUGUAUUCCUUCUCCUGUAGUGUAAUUCCAUGAAGGUUGUGUUCAUUUUCUUAGUCAAGCUAGAAACCUAGAUUCUUCUUUCUGUAUCUCUAGCCAGUUACAAGUGAAUCAUCUUCCCAUGCCAAGAUCUCAGUACUUCCCCAAUCAGUAUGCUGCAAUGCUUCAAAACUCCUUCGUCCUCUCUUUCCUUCCUACAUACAGGCCACUACAAUGUUAUCUCUACAAUGGAAAGACUUUAAUUUUUAUUUGAUUACACAUAUUUGUUUUGUGUAUGUGUGCACAUGCACACACACAUCGCAAAGAUGUGGAGGUCAGAGGGCAACUUCCAGGGGUUGGUUCUUUCCUUCUACCAUAUGGAUUUUGGGGUUCAAAGUUAGGUCAUCAGGCUUAGCAGCAAACACUUGUAAUUACCCACUGAGUCCUCCAAAAUGGAAGUAUAGCUAAUUCACUUUCACUUAGAAACCGUUUUAUGGCGUUCCAUUUCUGAAAAGAUAAAAGGCCUUUCUGAACUUUUUAUCCUCCUGACCUCAUCUACCACUCCUCUCCAACAUAUCUGCAAUACCUUCAUUACCAAUCUAUACCAUGUUCUUACGGCUCCAUUCCUCUGCACAUGCCAUUUCCUCAAGCUAGAAUGCUAUUUCCUUUCUCUCUGCACAGGGCUUCACCACAAAUGUCAUCUCUUUUGUGAAGCAUUCCACCUAGAUACACACUGUUAGUCAUUCCUCCUUCCUCAGUACCCCAGAGCACUUAUAAAAAUCAGUUCAUAAUUUCUUUGUGCGCCUUUCCCAGAUAAGACUGUAAGUAAUGAUUACUGGGAUUGCAUCUUAUCACGUUCAGGAGUACCUGACACAGAGAACAUUUGUUUAAGGAGUAAAGGAAAUGAGAUAACUGAUCUGAAAGUGCAUAAUUUAAACAAGUGUUAUAGGAUUAUGAGGGAAGAGGACCUUUACUCAUUUUCAGAGUCAGAAAACCCCAAACAGCAAAGGGAAGACCGGUGUAGGAAAUUAAGCUGACCUUAAUAAGGAAUCGAAGAACUGAGAAAGGAAAGGACAAGGGGGAUCCCCAUCACACCUCCCAGAGGUCAACAAGCAGCAGGCAGCAGGCAGAGGCCAAGAGAAAGCAGUAGGAAGAGAGAUAGCUGAUACCCCAAGCUCUCUGAGUGCCCAGCCAUCACAGCGGUGCUGUCAGAAGGGCUUGGGUCAGGGUAGGGAUCCAUCUGGAGGAAAUAGGAAGUGCUGUGGUGAUAAUACACAGGGUGAACAUGGACGGUGUUGAUGGUGGUGGUGGUGGUAGUGGAGGUGGUGGUGGCGAUGGUGGUAGUGGAAGAGGAGCAGGAAGAAGAAGCAGAGGCAGAUGGAGGGCUGGUUCCGUGGCCUUCAGAACUGAAAGACUGUCCAGAUGAAAGGCUACGCAUUCGCCGCAGAGACACCCGACUUGUCAAGAAGUGGCCAGCCUCGCCCUCUACCAACCUCUGAGAUCCCAGGCCAUGCUGUGGCUCCGUCAGGCGCUGUCGAACACUGCUCUGCAGGCUGGGGGCUGCAAGGAGAGUGAAGAGAGUAUAAGACUUGGCCAACCCAGGUUGGAUGCAGGUACCCAUAAAGAUAUGCCUGCUGGA